rnacentral:rRNA from 1 species
CAGCAGCCGCGGGAAUACGGAGGGUGCAAGCGUUAAUCGGAAUUACUGGGCGUAAAGCGCACGCAGGCGGUCUGACAAGUCAGAUGUGAAAUCCCCGGGCUUAACCUGGGAACUGCAUUUGAAACUGUCAGGCUCGAGUCUUGUAGAGGGGGGUAGAAUUCCAGGUGUAGCGGUGAAAUGCGUAGAGAUCUGGAGGAAUACCGGUGGCGAAGGCGGCCCCCUGGACAAAGACUGACGCUCAGGUGCGAAAGCGUGGGGAGCAAACAGGAUUAGAUACCCCUGUAGUCCCUGUCUCUUAUAC